rnacentral:tRNA from 1 species
GCUGUUGUAGUAUAGUGGUGAGUUUUCCUGACUGUCACGCGGGUAACUCGGGUUUGAUCCUUGGCAACAGUG